UACAGCGGUGCCAAGCGUUCGGCGGAAUCACUGGGCUUAAAGCUCGCGUAGGCGGAUGUUUAAGUGUCUUGUGAAAUCCCACGGCUCAACCGUGGAACUGCUGGGCAUACUGGACAUCUCGAGGCACUCAGGGGCGAGCGGAACAAGUGGUGGAGCGGUGAAAUGCGUAGAUAUCACUUGGAACGCCAAUGGUGAAGACAGCUCGCUGGGGGUGUCCUGACGCUGAGGCGCGAAAGCCAGGGGAGCGAACGGG
rnacentral:rRNA from 1 species